rnacentral:rRNA from 1 species
GUACACGAGUGGCGAACGGGUGAGUAACACGUGGGUGAUCUGCCCUGCACUUUGGGAUAAGCCUGGGAAACUGGGUCUAAUACCGAAUAUUCCCUGCUGGUCGCAUGGCCUGGUGGGGGAAAGCUUUUGCGGUGUGGGAUGGGCCCGCGGCCUAUCAGCUUGUUGGUGGGGUGAUGGCCUACCAAGGCGACGACGGGUAGCCGGCCUGAGAGGGUGUCCGGCCACACUGGGACUGAGAUACGGCCCAGACUCCUACGGGAGGCAGCAGUGGGGAAUAUUGCACAAUGGGCGCAAGCCUGAUGCAGCGACGCCGCGUGAGGGAUGACGGCCUUCGGGUUGUAAACCUCUUUCAGUAGGGACGAAGCGCAAGUGACGGUACCUAUAGAAGAAGGACCGGCCAACUACGUGCCAGCAGCCGCGGUAAUACGUAGGGUCCGAGCGUUGUCCGGAAUUACUGGGCGUAAAGAGCUCGUAGGUGGUUUGUCGCGUUGUUCGUGAAAACUCACAGCUCAACUGUGGGCGUGCGGGCGAUACGGGCAGACUGGAGUACUGCAGGGGAGACUGGAAUUCCUGGUGUAGCGGUGGAAUGCGCAGAUAUCAGGAGGAACACCGGUGGCGAAGGCGGGUCUCUGGGCAGUAACUGACGCUGAGGAGCGAAAGCGUGGGGAGCGAACAGGAUUAGAUACCCUGGUAGUCCACGCCGUAAACGGUGGGUACUAGGUGUGGGUUUCCUUCCUUGGGAUCCGUGCCGUAGCUAACGCAUUAAGUACCCCGCCUGGGGAGUACGGCCGCAAGGCUAAAACUCAAAGAAAUUGACGGGGGCCCGCACAAGCGGCGGAGCAUGUGGAUUAAUUCGAUGCAACGCGAAGAACCUUACCUGGGUUUGACAUGCACAGGACGCCGGCAGAGAUGUCGGUUCCCUUGUGGCCUGUGUGCAGGUGGUGCAUGGCUGUCGUCAGCUCGUGUCGUGAGAUGUUGGGUUAAGUCCCGCAACGAGCGCAACCCUUGU